UUGACAUCCCGAUGCUAUUCUAGAGAUAGAAAGUUACUUCGGUACAUCGGUGACAGGUGGUGCAUGGUUGUCGUCAGCUCGUGUCGUGAGAUGUUGGGUUAAGUCCCGCAACCGAGCGCAACCCCUUAUCUUUAGUUGCCAUCAUUGAGUUGGGCACUCUAAAGAGACUGCCGGUGUCAAACCGGAGGAAGGUGGGAUGACGUCAAGUCCUCAUGGCCUUUAUGACCAGGGCUACACACGUACUACAAUGGCCGGUACAAAGGGCAGCGACACAGCGAUGUGAAGCCAAUCCCGAAAAGACCGGUCUCAGUCCGGAUUGGAGUCUGCAACUCGACUCCCAUGAAGUUGGAAUCGCUAGUAAUCGCGGAUCAGCACGCCCGCGGUCGAAUACGUUCCCGGGCCUU
rnacentral:rRNA from 1 species